rnacentral:rRNA from 1 species
AGUGAACGCUGGCGGCGUGCCUAAUACAUGCAAGUCGAACGAAGUGGCGCACGGGUGAGUAAUAUAUAGAUAAUCUGCCCUACACAGAGGAACAACAGUUGGAACCGACUGCUAAUACCACAUAGUGUAGGAUGAGACUAUAUCGUAUCAGCUAGUUGGUAAGGUAAUGGGUUACCAAGGCUAUGACGCGUAACUGGUCUGUGAGGAUGAUCAGGCACAUUGGAACUGAGACACGGUCCAAACUCUUGCGGGAGGCAUCAGUAAGGAAUAUUGCGCAAUGGGGGAAACCAUGACGCAGCAACGCCGCGUAGAGAAUGAAACUUUUCGGAGCGUAAACUCCUUUUAUCAGGAAAGCGGUACCUGAUGAAUAAGCACCGGCUAACUCCGUGCCAGCCGCCGCGGUAUAC